UGUGGGUUCGCCUCCACUUGCCUUGAUUUCUGAAGAAUAUUUUUUAUCAUCCAUUAUCUAAUUGUGUUUAGUAAAGUGCGCCUUGGAGGGAAGGAGUACCGCCCCCAACUGGCCGUUUGCCUUGUCCUCUUAGAUGCAUUCCCCAACGCCUCUCCCAUCACUCAAUCCCGGGGAUGAGGUGCUCUCGCCCUUCCUGCUUCCUGGGCUCUGACUGGUCCAAAGCCAUCAAGCGCUCUUGCUCGGUGAUUGGUCUGUUAACCUAAGUCUAAGCCAAUCAGCACGCAGCUCCCUCUAGAAAGUCGCUCAGGGCUGAUCCAAUCAGUGCAAAGCUUAGGUCCCUCGCUGUCCUGUAAACAGGAAAAAGAACACCGACCCCAGGGGAGGCUAAGUACCAUUUGAGAGUGUGGGGAAGGCAGCCUGAGGUUGAAACCAAAGCACAGAGAAGAGCAGAGCGUCCAGAAAUGCGGAGAACCGGCACCAAGGUCCUGACCAAACUCUGGACUUUUCAGUUGUGUGAGCAUUUGAGAACCACUGGACUAGAGGAAGAUCUGAAACUACUGACUGAGGAGCGAAUGAGCCUGGUGAUCCAAGAGCAGGACUGAAGUCCAAGUGAAGAUGAAGAUGAAUUGUGCAUCCCAGAUGUGCUGGGAGCGGCCAUGGAAGCGAUGGCCGUGGAAGGGGUAGAGUGCUAUGGAUUCAGAAACGAACUCUCCAGAACUGACAUCUCCUUCAACCGGUGUCCGUCUCUUCAACCUGAUGUCCCUAGUCUCCUGGUCAGUGCCAGGAGGGUGCAUUUCGGCUGCAACCUCAUUGAGGGCUCUACACGUUUUUGAAUGCCCUCUUCUCUCACGGAAGUUGGGUAUUUAUUCUUUCCUGUUGCCAACCCUAAGAUGUCAUGCUUACUUUCUCUCAAGUUUCUUUAUAUUUCUGAAUUUCUAGAUUUCCUUUUUGGCAGAAUUUAGCCAAGAAUAACAGGGUUCCUUGUGAGCCUGUGAGUAACCCAAGCAAAGAAUUUAUCAAGCCUCUCUGAUGUGCCCGGGCAAAAGCUGUGGCAUAGCUCAGGAAAGACAGGUGCAAUAAUAAAGAUGUUGAUAAAAUUC